AUUUCCGCAUUUACUUCGAUUUUAUUCCUGUGAUUUUUGUUAAACGCUAUUCACCCCCCCUCCUAGCGUUGGGCACUUAUUCUAACAUUUGGUAUCAGAGCCAUACUCUUUGAAAGACUUAACAGUUUGAGAGAAACGAUCUAUGGCUUCUACUCACAAUCUUUAUGCAGGAAUUGGUGAGGGACAAUCAACCACGAGGCCACCACUCUUCGAUGGCACAAAUUACAACUAUUGGAAGGAGCG
rnacentral:lncRNA from 1 species